AACGUAGGUUCCGAGCGUUAUCCGGAUUUACUGGGCGUAAAGCGCGUUCAGGCGGUUUGGCAAGUCGGGCAUGAAAUCUCUCGGCUCAACCGGGAGAGGUUGUCCGAUACUGCUGGACUUGAGGGCAGUAGAGGGUGGUGGAAUUCCGGGUGUAGUGGUGAAAUGCGUAGAUAUCCGGAGGAACAUCAGUGGCGAAAGCGGCCACCUGGACUGCACCUGACGCUGACACGCGAAAGCUAGGGGAGCGAACGGGG
rnacentral:rRNA from 1 species